rnacentral:rRNA from 1 species
UAGGGAAUCUUCCGCAAUGGGCGAAAGCCUGACGGAGCAACGCCGCGUGAGUGAUGAAGGUCUUCGGAUCGUAAAACUCUGUUAUCAGGGAAGAACAAAUGUGUAAGUAACUAUGCACGUCUUGACGGUACCUAAUCAGAAAGCCACGGCUAACUACGUGCCAGCAGCCGCGGUAAUACGUAGGUGGCAAGCGUUAUCCGGAAUUAUUGGGCGUAAAGCGCGCGUAGGCGGUUUUUUAAGCCUGAUGUGAAAGCCCACGGCUCAACCGUGGAGGGUCAUUGGAAACUGGCAGACUUGAGUGCAGAAGAGGAAAGUGGAAUUCCAUGUGUAGCGGUGAAAUGCGCAGAGAUAUGGAGGAACACCAGUGGCGAAGGCGACUUUCUGGUCUGUAACUGACGCUGAUGUGCGAAAGCGUGGGGAUCAAACAGG